rnacentral:rRNA from 1 species
GGUAGCGUGAUAAUUCGCCCUUUAAUUGUGGGCUUGUACGAACGGAUAAACGAGAAGCCAACUGUCUCCAAAUUAUAUAUAAAAAUUGGCCUCUAGGUGAAGAGACCUAGAUAUUAAUAAAGGACAAGAAGACCCCGUAGAGCUUUAGUCCUUAAAUUUAUAUUGAUUAAUCUGGCACAGAAUAAUUUUAUGUUACUUUCAGGUCUUUGCUGGGGCGGCAAAGGAAGAACAAUCUUCCAUUUUAACCUUACAGCUUUAAACGGUGCCACACACCUUCUAUUAAAUGAUCCUACUUUAGAACAAAGAAAAUAGCUACCUCGGGGAUAACAGAUUAAUCCUUCUUGAGAGUCCGCAUUGACAGAAGGGAUUGACACCUCGAUGUUGGCUUAGGGGACCCUGUGGGUCAGCAGCAGCCCACAAAGGCAGGUUUGUUCAACCUUUAAAACCCUACGUGAUCUG